rnacentral:lncRNA from 1 species
CCCUCCCCCUUCCGAUCAUUUGUAUCACUGUACACACACACACCUCAUCUCUGUUUCUAGUUUUAAUAUCAAGCAAAAUGUCCCCGCCAUGCCCAAAUGAAUAGAUCACCCGCCGCACAUCUAUUUUCAUUAUUCUACUAUGUAAGAUACUCGUAAUAACACUCUUAUCACGUAGUAGGAUACAAUUGAAUGCAUGAAUAAUAUUAAGCAAAAUGCUCCGGCACCGUGAUUCACAUUUACAAAU